AGAGUUUGAUCCUGGCUCAGGAUGAACGCUGGCGGCGUGCCUAACACAUGCAAGUCGAACGGAGCGCCCGGACGGAGUAUUUCGGUACAAAGACCGGGUGGCUGAGUGGCGGACGGGUGAGUAACGCGUGGACAACCUGCCGUGUACAGGGGGAUAACAGCCGGAAACGGCUGCUAAUACCGCAUAUGCGCACAGUGCCGCAUGGCACAGGGCGGAAAGCCUAGAUCUUAUCUAGUACGGUACACGAUGGGUCCGCGUCUGAUUAGGUAGUUGGCGGGGUAACGGCCCACCAAGCCCACGAUCAGUAGCCGGCCUGAGAGGGCGGACGGCCACACUGGGACUGAGACACGGCCCAGACUCCUGCGGGAGGCAGCAGUGGGGAAUAUUGCACAAUGGGGGGAACCCUGAUGCAGCGACGCCGCGUGAAGGAAGAAGUAUCUCGGUAUGUAAACUUCUAUCAGCAGGGAAGAAAGAGGACGGUACCUGACUAAGAAGCCCCGGCUAACUACGUGCCAGCAGCCGCGGUAAUACGUAGGGGGCGAGCGUUAUCCGGAUUUACUGGGUGUAAAGGGAGCGUAGACGGCCAUGCAAGCUCGGUGUGAAAGGUGCGGGCACAACCCGCAGACUGCACUGAGAACUGUAUGGCUGGAGUGCCGGAGGGGCAGGCGGAAUUCCUGGUGUAGCGGUGAAAUGCGUAGAUAUCAGGAGGAACACCGGUGGCGAAGGCGGCCUGCUGGACGGCGACUGACGUUGAGGCUCGAAAGCGUGGGGAGCGAACAGGAUUAGAUACCCUGGUAGUCCACGCCGUAAACG
rnacentral:rRNA from 1 species